CCUACGGGAGGCAGCAGUGAGGAAUAUUGGUCAAUGGCCGCAAGCCUGAACCAGCCAAGUCGCGUGAGGGAUGACUGCCCUAUGGGUUGUAAACUUCUUUUAUAAGGGAAUAAUGUAUGCUACGUGUUCCUUUUUGUAUGUACUUUAUGAAUAAGGAUCGGCUAACUCCGUGCCAGCAGCCGCGGUAAUACGGAGGAUCCGAGCGUUAUCCGGAUUUAUUGGGUUUAAAGGGAGCGUAGGUGGGUUGUUAAGUCAGUUGUGAAAGGGUGCGGCUUAACCGUAGAAUUGCAAUUGAUACUGGCAGACUUGAGUACAGGAGAGGUAGGCGGAAUUCGUGGUGUAGCGGUGAAAUGCUUAGAUAUCACGAAGAACUCCGAUAGCGAAGGCAGCUUACUAGACUGCAACUGACGCUGAGGCACGAAAGCGUGGGUAGCAAACAGGAUUAGAUACCCUAGUAGUC
rnacentral:rRNA from 1 species